rnacentral:rRNA from 1 species
CUUAACGCGAAGAACCUUACCUACUCUUGACAUCCAGCGAACUUUCCAGAGAUGGAUUGGUGCCUUCGGGAACUCUGAGACAGGUGCUGCAUGGCUGUCGUCAGCUCGUGUUGUGAAAUGUUGGGUUAAGUCCCGCAACGAGCGCAACCCUUAUCCUUUGUUGCCAGCGGUUCGGCCGGGAACUCAAAGGAGACUGCCAGUGAUAAACUGGAGGAAGGUGGGGAUGACGUCAAGUCAUCAUGGCCCUUACGAGUAGGGCUACACACGUGCUACAAUGGCGUAUACAAAGAGAAGCGACCUCGCGAGAGCAAGCGGACCUCAUAAAGUACGUCGUAGUCCGGAUUGGAGUCUGCAACUCGACUCCAUGAAGUCGGAAUCGCUAGUAAUCGUAGAUCAGAAUGCUACGGUGAAUACGUUCCCGGGCCUUGUACACACCGAAG